GUGUGUUUUGUGAUGUCAAGGGUUGAACCCAAGGUUUUAUACAUGCUAGAUAUGCACUUUAUGACUGAGCCACACCUCCAGCUCAUUAAUGUGGCCUGGUGACAGAGCAUUUGAGAUGGAAAAUGUCGGACAUACUGAUGGCUUGUCAUCAGGUUAUCCAACUGUCCUUCAUUUGAAGGUGAACAUGAAGCAAAAUCAUUAAAUAUUUGACCCAAAGGAAGUUGACAAGAAUGUGAUCUGGAUAAUCUCCAGAGAGACUCAUUUUGAUCCACUAGGAAAGGGAGAACAAAAUGAGACUUGGAUGGAGUAUCAGGGCUGAAAUGAGUGAGCAUCAAAGCAAGGAGGCAAUCAGACUUCAGUUUUUCAUCCUGGCCAGCAGGGAAGCACAUGGGCCUAUUGGGGAGGGAGUCAACGUAAUCCAAGCUGGAAGAAAGCUGCUGGGAGACUAUUUCUUCCAAGGGCUCCGACUCCCAGAGACCAGACACUCAUGCUCCACAUUCCAUCUUGGGACUGACUUUUCAGAGCAUGCAGUCCUUUGGGGAGGGAACUUUGUCACAGGAGUGAAUGCUGUGCAUCGUCCCUCUGUGCACUGGUGAUGUGGUCCAGCUUCUUCAGGAAACAGUCAUGCAGAUGCUUCAGGACUCAGGUCCCAUUGCAGAAGAUGAAUGGUCGCCAACCAGAGAUCCAGACAAGGGCCUCAGGAUGUGAUAUCUGGAAGUUUUUCUGGCAUGGGAAGGGGUACCAUUUUUCUGGGGGAGGGCAGGUACCAUUCUGCACAGCAUCAUGGGACUGGUAGAUUCUAUGACAUGAAUGUUUCUUGGAAAUGGUGGGGUCCUGCUUGUAGAAUGCUGCUACUGUCACCUUCCAGCUUCGAUGGGCACACACAACGCAUCUCUUGAGGUGUCUGUCAACUCACAAUGUAUUUCAGAAAUAUUAGAACACUAUAAUGUGUACGCUUGGUGACAUAUGAACUGAAGAAAAUGUGUAUAAACCAUCUUCCAAACAUAAAGGAAAUGUUUGGUUCUGUAUGUAAUAGAUAA